rnacentral:piRNA from 1 species
UGCUUAUGAGGGUUAAGUAUUUUCAAAG